UGCGUGGGUGAUGAAAACGUGACCUUAGGUAGGUCUUUUUUUGGACCGUUUUGGUUCAAAAGUUUGGGCUUACCAAUGCUAGGAUUGUCAUAGUUACACUGACACGCU
rnacentral:snoRNA from 1 species